UACAGAGGUGCCAAGCGUUGUUCGGAUUUAUUGGGCGUAAAGCGUGCGCAGGCGGUUUUAUAAGCCAGAUGUGAAAUCCCCGGGCUUAACCUGGGAAUGGCAUUUGGGACUGUAAGGCUAGAGUACGGCAGAGGGGACUAGAAUUCCUGGUGUAGCAGUGAAAUGCGUAGAUAUCAGGAGGAAUACCGAUGGCGAAGGCAGGUCCCUGGGUCGAUACUGACGCUCAUGCACGAAAGCGUGGGGAGCAAACAGG
rnacentral:rRNA from 1 species